GGAAAUCUGGUCUUUCACCAUAUCGAAUAGUAUUAACAGAUCGAGCUUCUUCAAGAUUCUUGUGUAAAGAGGCCUCAAUAUUCUGCUGCAGGUUGUCGACCUUCUUUGUGCUAUCCUCUGGUUCCUCCUUCAAUGAGGUUUUCCUUUCCCAAAGAUGCCAUAAAGCGAUCACGAGACCCCCAAAUAUAACAACACUUGCAGCCAUGCAUCCAAUCAACAAAAGCCCCUUGUACCACCAGUAAGUUACAUUGUAUGGAUUUAUGUACAAGAUGUCUAAUAAUGCUACAGUGACCACCAACCCAAUUGUGGAUACUAUGACAUACAAUCCAGACCAUACAACAUUUCCAGUACCAAUCAAACUAGACAUUCGACAUCCACUGAAGCCAGGGGAGAUUGAGGUGUGCAUUGCUUUCGGUCUUUUGCCCUCCUCCUGAGCCGAAAAGAAGUAAACAUUACACACAAUAUAAAAUGGAGUGAUGUUACAUAAACAAAAUGAGAAUACGAAGAACCAAAUACCAAUGAAGGUUGUGAUUCCCGAGUCACAAAUGUUUGAAUCUCAAGAUUCAGUUUAUCAGAAUAAAGUGGACAGAUUGCCUCCAUGGCAAUUGUCUCAAGAAGUGGGAGCUCAUCUGAGUUUUUUAUAGCCCAUACUAUUAGUAUAUUUCUUGGAAGGCAAGGCCUGCUAUUGUUGAUACGGUGGAGGAUAUCACUCAGGAUAGCUAGGAAAGGAGAUAUUCCAAUUCCACCUGCUACCAAAAUGAGAUUUUCAUACCUGGGGGGAGAAACAUGGUUAACACAAUUGAUUAGCCAAUGAAUUGGUACUGAAACAAAAGAAUUGUAUACUCAGUAGAUAAUGCUGGACUUGACAUACGUCAAAUGAUAUGGUGAUUCAUGCCCAUAAGGACCUUCGACAGAAGCUGUUAAUAUCCUGUUAUGCUGCAAAAGGGGCUCCAUUUCAUGUUGUUCGACAGAAAGAUUCAAGAUAUGCCCCUUCAGUUUUUCGGUCCAAUCUCCAAGAACCUUUAUGAGAAUAGCAAGAUGAUGUUUCCCAUCAAGGGGACUGGAGGAGACACUGAAAGGGUGCCACUGCAGCCAGGACAACUCGCGUAUUUGUAAGAACAUCCAGCCAAGGGCGUUGUAAUGUAAAUCUACAUCGCGAGGGAAGAAAUAUUAGAAUCACUGAAAAAUGAAGUGGUGAGGAAAUCAGUAGAGUUCAAAGAUUUAAUCUUUUACUUGCAGGUUUUGAAAGAACGAGUUCAAUUGUUCCACAAGGAAAGCAUGUGGCUGAAAGAAUGUCAACAGUCUUUCGUGACUGGAAGAACCUAAGGAACCGAUCAAGCAUGAAAAGGAAGAUCCCGGCACCAGCCAUCAUGAAGAUGAAGUCACCAACAUGCAAGGCCAGGAACACCACGAACACCACAUAUAAUUGGUGCGUAUAGAAGAACAAUUCAAAGUUGUUCCUCCUUACUCCUGGAAGUGAAGUCACCCACAUCAAUAAACCAGCUGCAAGGCUGAUAACUCCUGGAAGAUGGGCUACUCCUACGUUUUUCCACUGGAUUAGCUGCAUUAAACACAAUGGCAGAGUUCAAGUCUUAUGUUUUCUUUACCAAGAAAACACAGAAAGAUGCAUUACAUGUGAUGAAGGGCUAGGCAAAUGAAUUUUCAGUUUUAGAACUCACUUCCUCCACAAGGCACCCGCGCAUUGCCCAGCCAAUCACAUAGAAUAGACCGUGAAGGCUAAAAAGAGCCAUAGUAGUAUGUCCCAGCCAAACAUGAUAUCGAGUGGCAUGCUCAAAUGGGAUAUCUAUAGCUCGAAGAAGAACUGAACCCCGUGCAACAGGUAUAAACAAAAAUGCUAAGCAGGUUAAUCCAAUGAAUCCAAAACGACGGCCUGUUAGCUCCAGCAACAUAGCGCUGAAGAGAUUACAACAGAGGAUAUUAGUCAAUGACGCAGAGCCUGUAAUUAGAAAAAGAGGACCUUGGAUAUAGUUAUUAUUCCAGCAGGCCGAGUCUAAAUUCUGUUUGAAGAAUAAACAUGAAAUCUUUAAUACAGUCAACUCAUGUUUAGCUCAAGCUUCAGUAAAUUGGGGUUAUCAAUCUUUCAGGAAGAAUAUUCAGUAGUUUUACUUUUAGAAUUCUACUGCCAUUGCACAUCUCUGGAGAACUAACUGCUACUUUAUAUAAAAGAAGAUAACAUAAGAACAAACUUGAAGGACCAAAACUUGAACCAAGGAUAUAAUGGAUUGAAACCUUUCCAAAUGUAGAGCAGUUGAGAGCCAGAAGAGUUUAAAACAAAUAAUUUUAGAACAAGAAUAUCAUGUAGUCCUUUCGGAAAACGAAUAAUGGUUUGUAUAGCUGAGUCAUACAUGUAUAUAUGAAAGGAUUAAAGGUAACUAGUUCGCUGAAAGGAUGAUAGUUUAGGCAAGCUGAAACAGCACGGUCCAAACUAUAGACAGCAAUUAAUAGGCCUAAGUCUGUUGAGUUAAAUAUUGCAUGAUCUUGAACAUGGUGAAUUUUAUUGCCAUUGGGAAACAACUACUUUCUCUUCAAAUACAUACAAAAUAUAGCAAGAAAUCAGUGAAACCCGAACAAGAAAGUAACGUGAUCAUGGUGACAGAAUUACCUUUUCUCUUUCAUGUCUUGUACAUGAAGCGAGGAUAAGCGGUCAACACUCCGUAUACUGUACAUAAUAACAGCCCAGAUGAUGUACACUGAGAAGAGUGUAACUCCAAUCAUUUCUGCAGCUGUAACAACCCCAAAUGGUCCAUCCACCAGCACUGGGAAUGUCCAUAAGCGAAAACUUGGACAUUUUGCAGUUUUCUUCCUACAACAAUUUAAAAUUCAGGUAACUACACAAGUUCAUAACAUCCACUAACUUCUAACGGAGUUCCUUUGAACUAAGAAAUCAAGCUAGCAGAUGCACAUACACUUGGGGUUCAUCUUUACCAGAGAGAACGAGGCGAAUAACUGCAAGAAAUGCAAUCAUGAAAAUUGGGAAACUGAAUAUCAAGAAUUUGCUUCCUGCAGUUCAACAGAAACUGAGAUUACUUUCUAACAAAGUGGAAAAACAAAUACAGUAUAAAAGCAAGAAAUUUUCCAUGUUGGCAACAAACCUGUUUUCCCAAAGAUAGUUCCUUGGGUAUCUCGAAUCAAUUUCUUUUGCAAUUCAUUCAUGUAUGCUGAAGGCAAUAAGAAAAGAAAAGUAGCCCAUGCAAUGAAGAUCAUCCACAUUAAUACAUUGAGAAUCAACUUUGUUGAUGAUACCCAAAAGGGUGUCUUAUUGAGAUAGUUAAAAUCAUUUUCUUUCUUCAAAAGAAGAGGUUCUUGGCCUGAGAAUUCACUCAUUACAGAAUCUUUAAAGUUUGGCAACAAUUAGUACACUCUCCAGGCCUAUUCUUGUACUUUAUUUGGCCUAUAUCAAGCAUCCCCAGUAAAGUAGUUAAUAUAUACAAGAAAGCUUCAGUAUAAACCAAAUCCAUCAACAUUCAUAGGUCAUGUACAGAAUUAAGCAGAAAUUUGGCUGAAAUGAAGCCACAAAAAAUCGGACCACUCAACAAUUAAUUCCUCCCCCCACCCCCGACAGUUACAGUAUAUGUCUGUCUCAUUGUUAAUAUACUAGGAAAGCUCAGUUUAUAUUAUUCGGUAAAGGGUAGACAAUCACGAGCCGAGAGUCUAUCAGAAACAGUCUCUCUACCUGUCACAGGUAGUGAUAAGCUACACAUUAACGUCUCCAAACUCCAUUUGUGGGUUCCCACUGGGUUAUUGUUGUUGUUGGAAGGGGUAGACAAAUACAUGGUUCUUCUUAAAACUGAGAAAUAUGAUGUUACAUGAUAUAGUAGUAGAUUUAUAGUUCUACUGACAAGUUAAUACAUUUUUGCUACAAGAAUGAUGGCCACAGCUUCUUGAGCUUGAAUUAUUUAUCGGAAAACUAUGCUGCGCUUUUGCUGACUUGCAAAAUUACAAAGUACUAUUGUAAUUUUACGUGUUGAUAAGAACAAAUAAGAGAGGGAGUCUUCAUUUUUACUGUUCUACACAUAUUAGAAAUUUACACAUUAUAAAUAACGCUUACAUUGUUACGUUUCAUGUGAUCUAUUAUGUUCAUUCUCAACAAUGCCGAAACUUUAUUGCUGAAGAAAGAAAGUCAAGAAUUUUUAAAAGAACAUUUGACUAGACUGAUAAUAAACAAAAAAAAACAUUUUUAGGUGUAGUGUUGCGGUCUAAAGACUUCCACGUUCACUCCCAAAAUAACUUUUCCGCUUCGCUUUCUUUGUUUCACGAUGAGUACAAAGACCCACAAAUAUUAAUUAAGAGACUCGCACUCUCAUUUAUUUCCUAUCUAUUUUAUGAAAAAUUCUUAAAAAGAAAAUUCAAAUUCGCGGACCAGUAGCUUUUGUUUGACGUAGACUAGAGUCACUAGACAGCUGUUCGAGAUUCUUUUUUGUGCUAUCAAAUUUCGAGGCUAAUGAUAUUAAUUAUCCCAAGCGUCAUUUUUGUAAGUUGAAAGACUCGUUUAAGGUCCAAAACUUUACAACUUGUUUCGAUGGUUGUUAUGUAUCGUCUAAUAUUGUAUCGUAUUGUUUUGAUGUAUAUAAUGUUUGGAAAUAUUGUAUUGUUUGUCGUCGUUUCAUGAUGUCAUGUACCAACAAUAUGAAAAAUAAACUUGUAUAGUCAGACCUCUGUAUAAUUGUAUCCUUAUAUAACAAUACUUCACUAUAAAAGCCAAGUUUUUCCGAAACCAAAUUUCAUGUUCUAUUAUAAUAUAUGUUUUCUAUAACAAUAAUUCACUAUAACAUCCAAAAAUAUCUGGAACAAACGAGAUUGUCACAGAGAGGUUUGACUGUAAUAUUAUAAAAAAAAAGUAAGGCACGAAAUAAUAUUAUUAUAUAUAAGCUUGUUUAGCGUGCAUCUUUCAUCUUCUCCACUUUUUUUUAAAAAAAAAAACUCCGGGACACUUCUACGUGUGAAACACCAAUGCAGUUUCUACAAAAUUUAAUUAGUAGCCUGGAAAAAGGCCAUUUGUGCAAAUGACCCCCUUAUCUGUGCAGUCAUGAUAAAGGUCAAGUUGUUAAAGUAAAAAUGAGCCUUUACAAAGAGCAACAUCCUUUUAGAGUAGAGUCGUUGGAAAAUAAAAAUCGAAGCAAAUUAGAUACAACUUACAAGACACUAUGACACUGGUAUGGAAUUCAGAAACUCUCAUUGAUAACAGGCUGCAGGUUUAUGUAGUUACUAGCCGUAUAGGUGAUACUGUUAUAUACUAUAUUGUUAAAGCUGCAUUUACAACGACUGAAAAUGUACAAGAAGCUUACUACAGAUACCAUAAAGCACAGUACAUGCUACAAGGAUCAAAGAUUAACUAGCUGAUAUGAUCCAGUUUCCAAUUACAGCAGUAACAACUCCUCUUUAUACGAGCUAUUCGGAUGCUUACUGGGGUGAUUUAGAGGUCAAAACUGUGGCUGUUGAAAUGGAAAAUAGCCUGAUGGCCUCUUCUUUGCAAGUUUUGCCUUCUGCACUCUUUAGCAACACUGGACUGAAGAGUAGGAGGACCACAUACUAUCACACCAAUAUCUACACUUCCCCAACUCUUUGCAUGUGAUCCAAAUAUCUCUGCAGAAAAAGAAGUUAAAACACACUGUCAAGAAAACUAAGGGAAAGUAGACCUUGCAAAGUUCAUAUGUUGCUCUGAACGUACCUUGGAAAUCUGGUCUUUCACCAUAUCGAAUAGUAUUAACAGAUCGAGCUUCUUCAAGAUUCUUGUGUAAAGAGGCCUCAAUAUUCUGCUGCAGGUUGUCGACCUUCUUUGUGCUAUCCUCUGGUUCCUCCUUCAAUGAAGUUUUCCUUUCCCAAAGAUGCCAUAAAGCGAUCACGAGACCCCCAAAUAUAACAACACUUGCAACCAUGCAUCCAAUCAACAAAAGCCCCUUGUACCACCAGUAAUAUAUAUUGUGUGGAUUUAUGUACAAGAUGUCGAAUAAUGCUACAGUGAUCACCAACCCAAUUGUGGACACUACGACAUACAAUCCAGACCAUACAACAUUUCCAGUACCAACCAAUCCAGACAUUCGACAUCCCUUGAAGCCAGGGGAGAUUGAGGGGUUCAUUGCUUUGGAUGUUUUACCCUCCUCCUGAGGAAAAAAGAAGUAUUAAUUAACUCAUAUAAUUGGGUGAUGAUACAUAAACAAAUGAAAAAUAAGGGGGAAAACCGAAUACCAAUGAAGGUUGUGAUUCCCGAGUCACGAAUGUUUGAAUCUCAAGAUUCAGUUUAUCAGAGAAAAGUGGACAAAUUGCCUCCAUGUCAACUGUCUCAAGAAGUGGAAGCUCAUCUGACUUUUUUAUAGCCCAUACUAUUAGUAUAUUUCUUGGCAGGCAAGGCUUGCUAUCGUUGAUGCGGUGGAGGAUAUCACUCAGGAUCGCUAGGAAAGGGGAUAUUCCAAUUCCACCGGCUACCAAAAUGAGAUUUUCAUACCUGAGAGGAGAAGCAUGAUCAAGCCAAUUAAUUAGUCAGUGACUUGAUAACUUUAAUUUAAAAAAAAUUGUAUACUCAACAGAUAUGGCUGAGUAUGUACAUACAUUAAGUGAUAUGGUGAUUCAUGCCCAUAAGGACCUUCAACAGACGCUGUUAUCUUCCUAUUAUGCUGCAAAAGGGGCUCCAUCUCAGGUUGUUCAACCGAAAUAUUCAAGAUGUGUCCCUUCAGUUUUUCAGUCCAAUCUCCAAGAACCUUUAUGAGAAUUGCAAGAUGAUGUUUCCCAUCAAGGGGACUAGAGGAGACACUGAAAGGGUGCCACUGCAGCCAGGACAACUGGGGUACUUGUAAGAAUAUCCAGCCAAGGGCGUUGUAAUGUAAAUCUACAUUGCGAGAGAAGAGGUAUUAGAAUCACUGGAAGAUAUUCUGGCGAAAAGAAAUCAGUUGAGUCAAAGAUUUGUUUUUUACUUGCAGGUUUUGAAAGAACAAGUUCAACGGUUCCACAAGGAAAACAUGUGGCUGAAAGUAUGUCAACAGUCUUCCGUGACUGGAAGAAUCUAAGGAACCGAUCAAGCAUGAAAAGAAAGAUCCCAGCACCAGCUAUCAUGAAGAUGAAGUCACCAACAUGCAAGGCCAGGAACACCACGAACACCACAUAUAAUUGGUGCGUAUAGAAGAACAGUUCAAAGUUUUGUCUCCUUACUCCAGGAAGUGAAGUCACCCACAUUAAUAAACCUGCUGCAAGGCUGAUAACUCCUGGAAGAUUGGCUACUCCUACGCUUUUCCACUGGAUUAGCUGCAUUAAACACAAUGGCAAAGCCCAAGUCUUCAAUUUCUUUACCAAGAGUACUCACAAGGAUGCAUUACAUGUGAUGAAGCCCUUCAAUAUAUAAAUUACAACUUAAUACAAGGGAUCUCUAUGGGGUAGGGAAAUAAAUAUUCAGUUUUAUAACUCACUUCCUCUACAAGGCGGCCCCGCAUUGCCCAGCCAAUCACAUAGAACAGACCAUGAAGGCUAAAAAGAGCCAUAGUAAGAUGUCCCAGCCAAACAUGAUAUCGAGUGGCAUGCUCAAAAGGAAUAUCUAUGGCUCGAAGAAGAACAGAACCUCGUGCAACAGGAAGAAACAGGAAUGCUAAGCAGAUUAAUCCGAUGAAUCCAAAACGAAGACCUGUUAGCUCCAGUAACAGAGCACUGGAAAAAUUACAUCAUCAGAUAUUAGUCGAUCCUCCUAUUAAAGGAGCCUUCAAGUCAACAACUAUGUACUGGUUCUAAAGUCUGAUAUAAGAACUAUGUGGUUGGAACUGUUUAUAUCCCAAUACUUUGAAACCUUUUCACAUGGAAUUCUCUUUAUAUUUAACAAGAUGCACAAUUUAUAUAUAAAGUGACAAAGAAGAGAGGACAGAUAAAUAGAAGAGAAAAUGAAUCUAUCUUUCCCAAUUUAAAAUCACAGCCACAGGUGGACUAGAUAAAGUGCAGCAAAUGAACUUAAAAGAUCCUCACUUAAUAUCAGUGAAGUUAGUAAAAUCAAACGCUUAGACAGAAUAGCCUGGAAUUAUGUAUGAUGCAGAAAGUUAACUGUACUCAACUUUCCUAAAUCUGUUUGUUUUCAUUAGACCUGUACAGGAAUGAACAUCAUAAACCAGGAUACAUUUUAUUUCAAUAAGUCGAGUCUAAAUUCUGUUUGAAGAAUAAAAUGAAAUCUUUAAACAGGCUCCAAAGUCAUGUUUAGCUAAAGCUUCACUAAAUUGAAAUUGUCAAUGUUUCAGUACCUUCAGAAUUCUAUGCAUGCACAUUUCUGGAGAAAUAAGAAGCUACUGUAUAAGAAGAUAAUAUAAGAACAAACUAAAAUUGAAAUGCCAAAAUUCGAAUUAAGGGUAUAAAUAGCUAUAACCGAAAAGGGCCAAAUAUAUCCCUCUACUUUAAAAUAUUGUAUAAACUUACCCUCCGUUUCACUAUCUGGUCGUCUGAGCCCUUACCGUUAUACUUUUAUUCAAAAAUACCCCUAAUUUAGACAGAGGGCCACGCGUCACUUUAGGAUUAAAUAGACCCACCCCCAAUUUUAAUUACCGGUAUCCAUUAAAAAACCCAAUACCUUUUCUCUUUCAUGUCAUGUACAUGAAACAAGGAUAAGAGGUCAACAUCCCGUAUACUGUACAUAAUAACAGCCCAGACGAUGUACACUGAGAAGAGUAUAACUCCAAUCAUUUCUGCGGCUGUAACAACCCCAAAUGGUCCAUCAACCAAAACUGGGAAUGUCCACAACCGAAAACUUGGACUUUUUGCAGCCUUCUUCCUACAACAAUUAAAAAUUCAAGUAACUACACAAGUUCAGAACAGCCACUAACUUCUAAUUGAGUUCUAAGAAAUAAGAAAUCAAGCUAGCAGAUGCACAUACACUUGGGGUUCAUCUUCUCCAGAGAGAACGAGGUGAAUAAUUGCAAGAAAUGCAAUCAUGAAAAUUGGGAAACUGAAUAUCAAGAAUGUGCUUCCUGCAGUCCAACAAAAACUGAAUCAUUUACUAAGAAAUUGGAAACAAUGAUAUAACAUAAAAGCAAGAAACUUUCAAGUUGGAAACAAACCUGUUGUCCCAAAAAUAGUUCCUCGGGUGGCUUGAAUAAAUUUCCCUUGCAAAUCAUUCAUGAAUUUUGAAGGCAAUAAGAAAAUAAAAGUAGCCCAUGCAAUAAAGAUCACCCACAUUAUUACUUUGAGAAUUAACUUUGUUGAUGAUACCCAAAGGGGUGUCUUAUUGAGAUAGUCAAAUUCAUUUUCUUUCCUCAAAAGAAGAGGUUCUUGGUCUGAGAGUUCACCCAUUUUAGAACUUCUUAAAGUUGGCACCAAAUACACUCCUCAGGCCUGUUCUUAAACUUUAUUUGGCCUAUGUCGAGAAUCAUCAAUGAAGUAGUAGUUAAUAUAUAUACAAGAAAGGCUUCAGAAGAAACCAAAGCCAUCAACAUUCAAUCAGGCUAUGUACAGAAUAUAAGCAGAAAUCUGGCAGAAAUGAAGCCACAAAAAAUUGGACCACUCAAAAAUUAUCCUUUCCCCCCGGGGAAAUGGAUGAAUACAGUUUCAGAAUAUGUCUAUCUCAUUGUUAAUACUAGGAAAGGUCAGUUCAUAUUCUUCUUCUUUUUUCUCGAGUUCAUAUUCUUCUCAAAAUUGAAAAUAAUGACAUUACAUCAGUAGAAAGAAUAGUAAUAGUAUAACAUGUUAUGUACACAUACAAUCUCUCAGACUAUAGUGGUGAGUAUCGAGUCAUUCAAAAAUCAAAAUGGUAAGGACCAAAGCAAAGUGUAGCCACAAACACUAUUAAAAGGGAAUCGCACAAUUGACUCUAGUGCUUCUUCUUUCUAUUUCCUUGUUUUAGUGUGAUUUUUUUCUCCUCGAGAAAAAUAAAAUAGGCUAAUCAAAUAAAAGUAAAAACAUUUAUUAUGUUAUUGUGGAUAUUAUGUCAUGGCAAAUGUCAUGAAAAUUUGGCCCUCACUUGAGAAGAAGCCAAAUUAAUGGCCAUAUUACAAGUCUCCACUUUGACCUAAUUUCGGCUUAUAUAUAUAUAUAUAUUAAAUUUGCUACACCUUCUCCGCAAAAAUCCCAAUGGGCAAAAUCAUUCUUCAUAAAUGCCAAUCAAGUUCAGGCAAAGCUUGAACUUGAGCACUCGAAGAGGUUUUGUGAACAUGUCAGCAUGAUUGUCUCUAGUGCUGAUCUUCUGAAUAGAGACUUUUUCUUCGGCAAUGGUUUCUCGGAUGAAAUGAUACUUUAUAUCAAUGUGCUUCGUCCUCUCAUGAUACAUUUGAUCUUUAGUCAAGUGAAUGACACUUUGACUAUCAUAGAAAAUAGUAAUACCAUAUUGGUGUAAACUGAAUUCCGCAAAUAAACCCUUCAACCAUAAAGCUUCUUUGAUCGCUUCGGUCACUGCCAUAUAUUCUGCUUCGGUAGUAGAUAAAGCUACUACAUGUUGUAAUGUAGCUUUCCAACUAAUAGCGCAACCACCAAUGCAAAAUACAUAGCCUGUCAGUGAUCUUCUUUUGUCAAGAUCACCUGCAUAAUCUGAGUGUACAAAACUCACCAAAGUGCUAGUAUUUCUCCCAAACUCCAAACGUGUAUUUGAAGUACCUCGCAAGUAUCUGAGAAUCCAUUUCACAGCCUGCCAAUGUGCUUUACCAGGGCAAGCGAUAUACUGGCUUACCACGCUCACUGCUUGUGAAAUGUCUGGACAUGUACAAACCAUUGCAUACAUAAUAUUGCCGAUUGCACUAGAAUAAGGAACCUGUGCCAUGUACCUCUCUUCUUCCUUUGACUGCAGGGAUUGAGCAACUAAUAACUUAAAAUGAGCAUCAAGAGGGGUACUAACUGGUUUAGCAUCUUUCAUGCCAAAACCCCUCCAAGAUUUUCUCCAAGUACUUCUUCUCGGUCAGAAAUAGCUUGUUGGCUUUUCGAUCUCUUUUGAUCUCCAUGCCAAGGAUUUUCUUAGCUGCUCCCAAAUCUUUCAUCUCAAAUUCACUUUUCAGCUGACCUUUCAAAUUGUGAAUUUCUGUUAAAUCCUUAGCAGCAAUGAGCAUGUCAUCAACAUAUAAUAAUAGGUACACAAAUGAACC
rnacentral:lncRNA from 1 species